CUGCGCGUAUGUAUGUGUACCACAGGUGCACCUGCUGUAACAGGAGGCCAGAAGAGGGCAUCAGAUUCUCUGAAACCGGAGUUACAGUUUUGGAGAACUGUAGCGGCUUUAUGGCUCUUCAUGCCCCUGAACCCCCAAAUCAACUCUGUUUCUGGAGGUUGCUUCAAGGAAUCAGAAGACAAAGCUUUGCAUCACAAUCUAUUAUUGGAAAAAUUCUCACCUUUAUGGACCUGGCAGCUGAAGACUGAUGCUGUCCUGAUACCUUUGCUCCAAGAUUAUGGAGACUACAGCAGCCUGGGAUGGCUGUCUAGAUUUCCACUUGGCUGACAGGCACAUCCAAGCAUCAGUGGAUAACUACAACCUGCUCCAAAUGACUAUGAGCCCUGGACUUGCUGAAAGCUGAUGUGGACCAGUCCACCCAACGUGAUUACUUCCUGUCUCUACAGCUUGGUUUUGGGAGUCUUCUGGAGUUCAGCUCCAACCUGUUAAAGGGUUCUUGCAGGGAGGAGAGAGGAAUGAGGAAAUGAUAGAAAGAUAGAGACAAUAAGAAAGACAGAGACACAAGAUAGCUUUGGGAGGCUCCCUGGGUCAAUAUCCAGUUGCCUCAAGAUUUAUUCCAAAGGGUUCUUUAUGCAAUGCCAAGAGGCAAGGCAAAAGUCCUCCCCCAUCAAGAUAAAAGCACAAAGUACCGACAAAUGUAGACCCUUCCAAACACUGGGUAACCAUGCCCCUGGCCAAAUCAUCCCAUUAUGCAGCCCUGUGGGGUAAAGCAAGUCCAGAUUCUCUGAUCCUGAGUAAUUUGGUCCCCCACACUGGGUCAGACAACCACAUGUUUCUGAUGAAUACCCCAUUGCCCAGUCUUUGACUAGCCUUUCUGCCUUCCUGGGCCCUGACAAAAACCUCAGUUUCAACUUGAAAUAGUUACAGAAGAGAAUACAUCAUUCUUUGCCCCUUUUCCUUAAAGGCUGAAAUGCUAAAUCAAAAGGAAACUCCCUGACAUAGGGAACUAAAUCACUACCUAUAAUGCCCAUUGACAUACCAGGAAAAUGGGCUCAAAUAGUCAAUUGGUAGAUUCAUCAAGGAACUUGGCCUUCUUUAUACAGAAACAAAGAGGUAUUAUAAGGCUGUAAGAAAAAAAUAUUAUUUCUAUAUAAAUCAUUCAGGAUUAUAAUCUGGCUGUACUAAAAAAAAUAAAAACAGGACCUGAGAUAAAAUAAUAACUGGUCCCCAUUCUCAUUUCCAGGUUCCUUCUAGAUAGGAACUCUGUCAACCACCACAGGGCCUUUGGCCCUUCUGCUUCUGCUAAUUACUGUUGACUCUUAUGUCAUUGAUGCCUUAACUAAAUGAUAAUUCCUGUCUGGGUACCACUAAGUUGCUGAUGCUAAAAUCCCAAAAUCAGCCUCUUGACCCAUCUCAAGGAUUCGGGAUGGAGCCAAGCUCAAGGGGGGAAUGAAGGGGUUAAACUCUCCCACUCUCACAACUGAAUUUAGGUUUCAGUUCUCUGAGAAGGGUAAACCAAGUGUCUCUCUCAACAAAGGGUCAUUUAUCCACAACACCCUCACAUUCGGGGACAAGGGAGACAGCAAACAUAGAGGCCUAAGUCAGUCUUACAGUGUCUCAAGGACAAAUCCUGCAGCCCCUUCUGAGUCACAUCUGGACUUGUCCAAGCUUGUGCAAGUGUGUCCAAAAAUAAGACUAAACCUCAGCCAAUUAAAAAUAUACUAAUAUAACUGCUGCUUGCUUAACCAAUCGCGUAUGAGAUGACCUAGUUGUCCCUGAAACUCCCCUUAGCUGUGCUGAAAAGGAGCCUGCACACUCCUCUUGGGGCCAUCACCAUCUUGUACAGGUGAAUGACAUGCAUAUGCUGGAAUAUUAAUAAAUAUCUUUGCUUUUACAUA